UAAAAUCUAGUGGCGGUCUCGCUGCAGCCUCCAUUGCGUAGUAGCUAACACCUCGCAACUGGAACGCGGCGCGGCCAAGCCGUUAAACCCCCAACUUCUGGAU
rnacentral:misc_RNA from 1 species